rnacentral:tRNA from 1 species
GCGAAAUUCCAAGGGACUUAGAACCCACCCCCUCUAGGCGGCUCUAACAUUGCCAAGGUUGGGGUCGAGGGUUCGAAUCCCUUCGCCCGCUCCA